GAUUCGGCUUGGACGGCGGUGUGAUUGACAAAAGGUUCAGCCCGAGUGGCGGCGUAGUUGGCAAAGGAUUCGGCUUGGGCGGCGGUGUGAUUAAUAAAAG